rnacentral:rRNA from 1 species
CGAUGGAACGGUAGUGGCCUACCAUGGUUGCACCGGGUGACGGAAAAUUAGGGUUCGAUUCCGGAAAGGGAGCCUGAGAAACGGCUACCACAUCCAAGGAAGGCAGCAGGCGCGCAAAUUACCCAAUCCCGACUCGGGGAGGUAGUGACAAUAAAUAACAAUGCCGGGCUAUUGUAGUCUGGCAAUUGGAAUGAGUACAAUCUAAAUCCCUUAACGAGGAACAAUUGGAGGGCAAGUCUGGUGCCAGCAGCCGCGGUAAUUCCAGCUCCAAUAGCGUAUAUUAAAGUUGUUGCAGUUAAAAAGCUCGUAGUUGGAUUUCGGGGUGGCCUGCCUGGUCCACCGCAAGGAGAGUACUGGUCAGCCGCCCUUCCUCUCGAAAGCCCCGACUGUUCUUCAUUGCAGUGGUCGGGUAGUUCGGGACGUUUACUUUGAAAAAAUUAGAGUGUUCAAGGCAGGCUCUCGCCUGAAUACAUUAGCAUGGAAUAAUGGAAGAGGACCUCGGUCCUAUUUUGUUGGUUUCUAGGGCCGAAGUAAUGAUUAAGAGGGACAGUU